rnacentral:lncRNA from 1 species
CAAUUCUAUAUCAGGCAGCAAAACUCUUAAAGCAGCAAAAUCCGUAAAGAGCCAAAUGAAACCUCAUUUCAUUUUUUUAAAUAGCGGAAAUCAAGUAAAUAUCGCAAUAGGUAGUAAAUAGUAAAACUGUCCCUCGGGCCCAGUAUCAACCGCUCAGUACAGUAACAGCCCCUCGAGCUCAAUCUCAGUCACUCAGUAUAGUAUCAGCCCCUCGAGCCCACUCUCAUAUCACAUGGGUACCCGCGCUCACUAUAGGUGUGCAAACUCCGGAGGGGCCCCUUACAGCCCAAGAAUUAUAUCAACAUAAGGCCUGAAAGCCUUCUCACAUCACACUCGAGGCCUGAAAUCCUCCUCACAUAACAUUCGAGGUCUGAAAGCCUCCUUACAUUACUCAACAUAUCCUCCCAUAUGGCCCUCGGCCUCAAUCAGUCCAAAAAAACAACCAUAAGCCCCUCGGACAUCAGUAAAAUAAUAGUGCUAAGCUCAAACAUCAGUUCCCUCACAUAAUCACUCGAGGCUUGAAAGCCUCCUCACAUAAUCACUUGAGGCCUAAAUCCUCCUCACACAAUCACUCGAGGUCUGAAAGCCUCCUCACAUAACACUCGAGGCCUGAAAGCCUCCUCACAUAACCUCCUCACACAAUCAGUCGAGGCCUGAAAGCCUCCUCACAUAACACUCGAGGCCUGAAAGCCUCAUCACAUAAUCACUCGAGGCCUGAAAGCCUCCUCUCAUAACACUCUAGACCUGAAAGCCUCACCCAGUCAAGAAUAUCAUAAGCCCCUCGCACGUUAAUAAAAUAAUAGUCAUUAGCCCAAACGACAGUGAAAUAUCAUUAAAGUCUCAAAAUUCAAUUAAAACGGGGCUGAGUUUGCAUAACAGUAUAAUCAUUAGGAAUGAGUUCAAAUAACAUAUCAAAAAUAGUGAGGAAAUAGUUAUAACAAUCCCUGAAGGAUCCAAAUAGUCGGCAUUAAGCAUAAAGCACUGCAAUAAGCCCCAAAUCAUGAUGAUAAACAAAACAACUCAGUCAAAUACGCGGUAAAAUAUCAAUUGGGACGGACCAAGUCACAAUCCCCAAUAGUAAAUAAAUCAUGCGCUAAUUAUAAAAUGCGUGUUUCAUCUCAAUAUAGCACU